GGUACAUUUCGCCCAAACUGGUAACACUAGUUACAAUAUCAAAUGUCAAAAGUGCCAGAAGCGCUGGCAAAAUUGAAACAAAGCUUCAUUUGGUAUCUUUUCAUUUGUUCUAGUAUAGUUCUACUCAUUUUUGACAGUUCUCACAGCAAAGCAAAUGCAAAUAUAUAUUUGUUUGUUGUUUUUACUUUGAAAUACAUUUACACUGAUUAAAUAAAACUUCCAGUUGAGAAUACAAACUUAAGGGGUAGUCGCUGAUCAAACCAUGUUAAUGGCAAAUGACGGUAACUUCUGUCCAGCAGUGUAUAUAUAUUGUCAGUGAAAUUUGGAACAUAGGAUCCCAUUAAGGAGGGGCACAUUUGGAUGUAAUUUUUUUGGAAAAGUGGGCGUGACCCCACCCCCAAAUAGGUUUUUUGUAUAUAACUCGCAAACCAAUAAAGCUAUAUAAACCAAACUUUCUGCAGUCGUUUAUUUUAGCCAUUUCCUUAUACAGUCCAAAAAUGAAAGAAAUCGGAUAAUAACCACGCCCACCUCCCAUACAAAGGUUGGGUUGAAAAUUACUAAAAGUGCGUUAACUCACUAACGAAAAACGUCAGAAACACCAAAUUUGAGAUUUGAGAUUGAGAUUUUUUUACAAAAUGGAAAAUGGGCGUGGCGUCCCCACUUAUGAGUCAAAACCCAUAUCUCAAGAACUAUUCGAUCGAUUUCAAUGAAAUUCGGUAUAUAACACUUUCUUGACACUCUGAUGACACGGGUGGAAUAUGGGCGAAAUCGGUUCACAACUACGUCUACUUCCCAUAUAACUCAAUUUUGAAUUCUUUUGAUUCGUUCACUUUAUAAUACAUAU